GGAUGGCUCUCUGGAGAAUCCCGGAAAAUGGGUGCCGAAGGUGAAAGUGAUGAAAGUCGCGAAUCUCUCAGGCAAAAGGACAGUGUUGAAGCA
rfam:Firmicutes bacterium CAG:646 genomic scaffold, scf85